rnacentral:rRNA from 1 species
UACAGAGGGGGCAAGCGUUGUUCGGAAUUACUGGGCGUAAAGGGCGCGUAGGCGGCCCGCUAAGUCGAACGUGAAAUCCCCGAGCUCAACUCCGGAACUGCCAUUGAAACUGUUAGACUUGAGGAUGAGAGAGGUGAGUGGAAUUCCCAGUGUAGAGGUGAAAUUCGUAGAUAUUGGGAAGAACACCGGAUGGCGAAGGC